UUAUGGCUCAGGAUGAACGCUAGCUACAGGCUUAACACAUGCAAGUCGAGGGGCAGCAUAACGAAAGCUGCUUUGUUGAUGGCGACCGGCGCACGGGUGAGUAACGCGUAUCCAACCUUCCCUAUACUAGAGGAUAGCCCGGCGAAAGUCGGAUUAAUACUCUAUGUUCUUCGUAGAAGACAUCUGAAAUGAAGCAAAGGUUUACCGGUAUAGGAUGGGGAUGCGUCUGAUUAGGUUGUUGGCGGGGUAACGGCCCACCAAGCCCACGAUCAGUAGGGGUUCUGAGAGGAAGGUCCCCCACAUUGGAACUGAGACACGGUCCAAACUCCUACGGGAGGCAGCAGUGAGGAAUAUUGGUCAAUGGACGAGAGUCUGAACCAGCCAAGUAGCGUGCAGGAUGACGGCCCUAUGGGUUGUAAACUGCUUUUAUACAGGGAUAAAGUGACGUACGUGUACGUUUUUGUAGGUACUGUAUGAAUAAGGACCGGCUAAUUCCGUGCCAGCAGCGGC
rnacentral:rRNA from 1 species